GGCUUUCUAGGUCAGUCGGUUAGAGAGCAUCGUGUAAUAUCGCGAAGUUCCUGGAUUCGAUCCCCAGGAUGGCCA